GUGCAAGUGAUGUAAACUUUAUUUUCAACUGAAUGUCAGUGAAGCAUUCAAAGGAACCACUGAUGCCAC
ensembl:snoRNA SNORD42 Small nucleolar RNA SNORD42